CGGGGUGCCCAGGCGCGAAAACUUUGCAAUGCGGGAAACCGUGACAAGGGAACUCUGAGUGCCCGUUAAAUCGGGCUGUCCAUCGGUUUAAAUAACCGGUGAAGAAAGGGCCGGGCAAGACCGGUGCCAGCCGCCGCGGUAAUACCGGCGGCUCGAGUGGUGGCCACUAUUACUGGGCUUAAAGCGUUCGUAGCUGGUUUGUUAAGUCUCUGGGGAAAUCUUCCGGCUUAACCGGAAGGCGUCUCAGGGAUACUGGCAGACUAGGGACCGGGAGAGGUGAGAGGUACUCCAGGGGUAGGAGUGAAAUCCUGUAAUCCUUGGGGGACCACCUGUGGCGAAGGCGUCUCACCAGAACGGCUCCGACAGUGAGGGACGAAAGCUGGGGGAGCAAACCGGAUUAGAUACCCGGGUAGUCCCAGCUGUAAACGAUGCGCGUUAGGUGUAUCGGUGACCACGAGUCACCGAGGUGCCGAAGAGAAAUCGUGAAACGUGCCGCCUGGGAAGUACGGUCGCAAGGCUGAAACUUAAAGGAAUUGGCGGGGGAGCAC
rnacentral:rRNA from 1 species